AUGGAUGAUGUGUGGGACAAAGGAGCUUGGGAGGGUGUGCUCAAAAUACCAUUAGCCAAUGCUGCUGCUUCAGGCAGCCGUGUUCUCAUCACAACUAGGGAAGGACGUGUUGCCCAAGGGGUGACAUCUAUACAGCCCUACCACCACAUCGACACAUUAGCACCCGAUGACGCUUGGUCAUUGCUCAAGAAGCAGGUACGCUCAAGUGAGAUAGAUGAAGACCACAUCAAUACGCUAAAGGAUAUCGGACUGAAAAUUAUCCAGAAAUGUGGUUGUUUACCAAUUGUUGUUAAGUAA
rnacentral:rRNA from 1 species